CUUCAAACAUCAUGGAAACUUGGACCUGCAGUUGCAAAUGUAGAGGAUGAGACACAUUUUUGUUGCCUGGAGUCACUACUUAAGGAAGAGGAGAGCAAGCCCAGUUAGACUACAGAGAAAGUCAUGCAAACAUGAUAUGUUUGUUCUUUAAAAAGUUUCAUAGAUUUUUCUUAGCUCAACUUCAGCUGUUCUCUCUGGACCAUGACAAGUCCUUCUAUACCUGACUUAACACUGAUUUGUUUGCUGCCUAUUUAUCAUCGCUGUGUUCCUGCUCGUCUUUUCAAGCUGUUCAGCAAGUGGCACUUGUAUGAACAGAGUCUGCUGAAGUUAAAUUUUACCCGUCCAGCUCAUCAGCAAGUCUUCUUAGGUCGUGUGCAUGAUUCAUAGCUUUUUCUACCAAAUCAUCAUCAAACAGGGACAGAUUGGCUAUUUUUUCUUGCAAUUCCUUUUUUGCUCCAUCUAUUUCUGCGUAGAACCCUGAUGCAUUCUGAACAAAGCAGGGGAGGAAGGAAAGAAGAUGAAGAUUGCAAAAAAUCAAGUCUGUAUUUUGAUUAUUAAGUUUUAUUUUACCCUUUAUAUUAUUAUAAUGAUCCUUUAUUUCUGUUACAGUUGUUUUAUUUUAGAUUUUUAAGAGAAAAAGAGUAAAGAUCUGAUGGUGAAUGCCCACAUGGAAAGACACAUGCAGGAAGAUAAAAAUCAACAAAAAGUCCAGAAAUCACUUAAGAAAGUGUUAGAGAGAAAUGCAUAAAAUAAAAAAGAAAGAUGAUAAAAGUCUUACUUUAUGUCUUGUGCCAAUGACAAGUCUUUCAGAGUGAAGUCCCCUUUCUGCCUCCUUGCACAAAGAGAUCCCUCAUGCUAAUCUUGGAUUAGUCUGAUUUGUAAAUCAGUCCACCUAAAUACUACCUAUGUGUAUGUAUUGGCAAGGAGAAAUAGUAUCCCUUUGCCUUAGCCAUGUUUCUUCCUUACAUGAAAUACUUGGGGGAAGACAAAAUGGACCUGCAUUCACCUUCUCUCCAGUACACAAGCUUGCUGAUGUUUUUGAAGAUUAUAAAUGUGGUAAAAUGUGAUUAUAAUGUAUGUAUAUUUUAUGUAUAUUAUUAAUGUAAAUCUUGUAUUUCAAAGUACAAGAAAGAGGAUGAAAUGGAGGGAGGGAAAAAGGAUGAAUGAGCGAAAUGUGAAAAUACUUAUUGCUGAUGAGGAUGGACAAUGUGUGAUGUUUGCAUAGUACUUCCUUCCCUGCAGUGUGAACAUCCUCCAUGUGUGAACUAAGUCACAGCAGUGGGGAACCCGAAAUCAUAAACGGCAGCAAUUGGUGUUGCACAAAACACCAGAGAAAAGCCCCAGCAUACUGCUUGAUCAUGGGGAUGGUUACAAACAUAAGAAGCUAUUGGAAUGAAGCACUAUUCAGUCCACAGCAGAGACAAAUUAAACAUGGAUUUUUCAUAGUCAUCUGGAGAUUAUAUUUUUCUGGAGAUUUUUAAAAUCUACAGUACACAGAUCUCUUUUCCUUGUCAGUAGCAAAGCCAAUGUGAACAAUCUCUUUUGUACAGCAUCUGCCUCUAUUGUGAGGAAUAAUGGAAAUCCAAAUGGUUAAAAACAGUGAACAAAUGCAACUACACACUUCAGGCUUUGCUCCAUAACUGUGAGACAAGCUGCAGCUUGGCACUGUAAUUAUGGAACAAUGGAACAACAGAAGAGGCUUUGUACUUGAGGAUCUCAAGCUCUUGGGAAAGGAUUCCCUAGAGGAGCAUGCCUGAUCUCUCUGUUGGAUUCUUAGACCUUCCACAUCAGCAUGAACUUCUAGCACUGCAAAUUUCAAGGACUCAAAACUCAGCCAUUGAUGCUAUGAAACGCAGAGGUUGGCCUGAAUUUGCAAGACCAUUCUUCAAAUCACAAAAUUGCUCACUAACACCCUCUCCUCCAGAAUCCAAACAAUUUCAGCCAUUGAAAUGAAAACAAUUUGCUUCAAAUGGCCCCAAAUUUUUCUCUUUGUAAUUUUAUUCCCUGCUGAAAAAAGAAAUGAAAAGUUUUAGGUGGGAUAUUCUGGUUUUGCACUCCUUAAAAGAAACUUAAGAAAACAGGGAAAGAGUCACAGAACUGCUGUGAAGAGAAAAAAUAGUUUCUUUUGUUUGGCUGAUGGGUUGGGUACUCUUCUGGGAUAUGAAACCUGAAAAUUCAGUUUUCUCAUCAGGCAUGUGGAUUUGAACCCAAUGCCACCCCUUACAGGCAAAGGUGCCCCACUUCCAUGCUAUAGGGGACAGGUCACCUCUGAGGUCUCCUCUAGAGUGGUUACUUUGUUCAAAAUUCUGAAUCUAUUCAUUUGAACAGGGCACAGGAGAAAACUGGUGCAACCUUAUCGCUAGGCUAGCAAGUUCACCUAGCAAGUAGGAAACCCAAUUUCAAGGUAUCUAUUGUGGAGUGGUUAGACAAUGGAUUUGUGCUUGAAGAUUCAAGGACAACUGUCUACUCCUGAAAAUAAUGGGGAUGCAUUUUGUUUAAAGUGGUUCAGAGAAAGUUUGGAUCAGACAGUAUGAGUGAACUCAGCCCAGGACACAAAUGCAGUGCAGAAUCUUUAUAAGUAAUUGUUUUCUUAGAAUAUAAUUAGUUUUGUGAGGCCCUCCCACAUUGUAAGUCAGUAUAUAAUAGGAUGAAACAAUCCCACCACAAUACUUAUAGCAGCCAUGCUACAUGAAAUUUCAAGCUUCUUGGGUUUUACUGCAACAUGCCUUGCUAGUCUAGGCAUAGGUAUCCACCUCUUCCUUGGUCUGAUGAGGCAUGACAUGCCGAAACUUCUCAUUCAUUGUCACUCCACAAAUAGGUAAUAGUACCUUGCACUUCCACAUGUUGUUUCUUAGAACUGAAGAGUCAAACUCAUCCUGCUGAGUGAUCCAAGAAAUUCUUUUUUGGUGUGGUGGUUCCUGAAUCUAAAUUGUGUGCAAUCUACAGUUUAAGCAAUGGCAGAGAUGGAGUGUUCACAGUCAGUGCUUAUGAUAAAUGUAGUGCACAGUACCUCCUGCCUUUGGAGCCUGGCUGUGUUUUCCCUAUUUAUAUCCUCUGUUUGUUUAACAUGGUCAAGUGCCUCGUCUAAUGCCUCCUCCAGGUCUGACAGCUUCACAUCCUGUUCGCUGAGCUGCUCCAGCACAUCAGUUACCAGGGAUCUGGUGUCAUUGUACUUCUCGUGAAAUGCUUCAAUUUGCUGUAGCACUGGGAGAAAAAUAAGAGGCCAAUAAAUCCAAAGCUUGGAUUUCUGACAAAACUUACCUAUACAGCAAUUUCUGUAGCUGUUACUCAGGCGACAGUAAAACACAUUUUGUAAAGCUCACUUGAGAGAUCGUAUACCUAGAUUUUAAUUUUCCCUCCUCAUUUGAGAAGGAAAGAUACUUCUUAUUUUAUUAUUUCAUUUUAAUCCUAUUAAUUCCCCCUCUGAAAUAUAUUUUAUUAAAAGAAACUAGAUCUGUCUUUCCCUGCUUUUCAUUUGUUUUUCAUUGGCAGCCUGUUCUGGAGAAGACAGUCCUUAUGCCUCAUGUUCUGACUCAUGUUGACUAAGCUGUGACAAUUAGGCUGCUACUCUUUCCCAUACCAGCAGUUUUUCUCUGUCUGCUGGUGUUUGCUGUCCCCAUAGCCGAGCUAGCAGGGGGGAAGAUGUUCACAUGAGCAAUUCCAGCCCUGCCAUGAAACUUCCUAAGCAGCUAUUGUUGAGGUGCUGCAGUGCACAGGCACACACAGACACACAGACCUUUUUCUCCCCAUUCUGCCAUGGGGAGCACCAAGCACCAGCAGGGACUUGGAGCAGGAAUUUGGAAGCAGCAGCAUCUCCAGCACACCGGCUGGUGCUUGCCAAGUGCCUGCUGGUCCUCCCCAGGGGCUCAGCAGUACACCCAGAGCUGCCCAUAACCUGCCAGCUGAGCAUCAACACGUGGCUGAAAGUUGACUUAAAACUCACACUCCUCUGCUGCAUUUUCCUCCUCGUCUGCAAGUUGCCUCUGAUUAGUGAAAGGCUUUCGUUGUUUGAUCUCCUUCAGCAUCUCCUCAGCCACACUCCACUUCUGGGCAAUUUCUUCAGGGCUCAGCUCUUGUUGAAUUGCAUAGUAUUUUGACUUGCUGCUGAUUUCUAGGGGGAAAAGGGAACAGAUGGUCGAUUCAGUAUGACUACAGAGAAAUAAACACCAUGGACUGCUUUUACUUUUGUGAUUAGUGAUAAUACUGAUGGCAAAAGGAAGUCUUAAUUAUCUUCAACUCCAUAGUAGAUAAUUAUUAUGUUUAAUCCAAUCUUAUAAUUAAACCUGUAAAUAAAUCACA